rnacentral:rRNA from 1 species
CAGCCGCCACGGUAAUACGUAGGGUGCAAGCGUUAAUCGGAAUUACUGGGCGUAAAGCGUGCGCAGGCGGUUAUAUAAGACAGUCGUGAAAUCCCCGGGCUCAACCUGGGAACUGCGAUUGUGACUGUAUGGCUAGAGUGUGUCAGAGGGGGGUAGAAUUCCACGUGUAGCAGUGAAAUGCGUAGAUAUGUGGAGGAAUACCGAUGGCGAAGGCAGCCCCCUGGGAUAACACUGACGCUCAUGCACGAAAGCGUGGGGAGCAAACAGGAUUAGAUACCCCGGUAGUCCCUGUCUCUUAUAC